CCUACGGUGUGCAGCAGUGAGGAAUAUUGGUCAAUGGGAGAGAUCCUGAACCAGCCAAGCCGCGUGAGGGAAGACGGCCCUAUGGGUUGUAAACCUCUUUUGUCGGAGAACAAAACCCGGGACGUGUCCCGGACUGCGUGUAUCCGAAGAAAAAGCAUCGGCUAACUCCGUGCCAGCAGCCGCGGUAAUACGGAGGAUGCGAGCGUUAUCCGGUUUUAUUGGGUUUAAAGGGUGCGUAGGCGGUCCGUUAAGUCAGCGGUAAAAUUGCGGGGCUCAACCCCGUCGAGCCGUUGAAACUGGCAGACUUGAGUUGGCGAGAAGUACGCGGAAUGCGCGGUGUAGCGGUGAAAUGCUUAGAUAUCACGAAGAAAUCCGAUUGCGAAGGCAGCUCACUGGACUGCAACUGACACUGAUGCUCGAAAGUGUGGGUAUCAAACAGGAUUAGAUACCCUUGUAGUC
rnacentral:rRNA from 1 species